AAGACUUUAAGUUAUAAUAAACUAAAAACCUUCAAAGUUUUUAAAGACCCCACAUUCAAGUCUUG
rnacentral:tRNA from 1 species